rnacentral:rRNA from 1 species
UACGGGGGGAGCAAGCGUUGUUCGGAUUUACUGGGCGUAAAGGGCGGGUAGGCGGCCACCGCAAGUCAGUUGUGAAAUCUCCGGGCUUAACUCGGAAAGGUCAACUGAUACUGCGGGGCUAGAGUGCAGAAGGGGCAACCGGAAUUCUCGGUGUAGCGGUGAAAUGCGUAGAUAUCUGGAGGAACACCGGUGGCGAAGGCGGCAUCCUGGACCGGUAUUGACGCUGAGGCGCGAAAGCCAGGGGAGCAAACGGG